ACGCGCGCUACACUGACCGGAUCAGCGUGUGCUCUCCUUGGCCGACAGGUCCGGGAAACCCGUUGAACCCCGGUCGUGCUAGGGAUAGGGAAUUGCAAUUAUUUCCCUUGAACGAGGAAUUCCCAGUAAGCGCGAGUCAUUAGCUCGCGUUGAUUACGUCCCUGCCCUUUGUACACACCGCCCGUCGCUACUACCGAUUGAAUGGUUUAGUGAGGUCCUCCGAUUGGACCCGGUCCGGGCGGCGACGUCCGAGCCGGCGUCCGAGAAGACGAUCUAACUUGAUCAUUUAGAGGAAGUAAAAGUCGUAACAAGGUUUCCGUAGGUGAACCUGCGGAAGGAUCAUUA
rnacentral:ncRNA from 1 species